rnacentral:rRNA from 1 species
AUUGAACGCUGGCGGCAGGCCUAACACAUGCAAGUCGAGCGGUAGCACAGAGAGCUUGCUCUCGGGUGACGAGCGGCGGACGGGUGAGUAAUGUCUGGGAAACUGCCUGAUGGAGGGGGAUAACUACUGGAAACGGUAGCUAAUACCGCAUAACGUCGCAAGACCAAAGUGGGGGGACCUUCGGGCCUCAUGCCAUCAGAUGUGCCCAGAUGGGAUUAGCUAGUAGGUGGGGUAAUGGCUCACCUAGGCGACGACCCCUAGCUGGUCUGAGAGGAUGACCAGCCACACUGGAACUGAGACACGGUCCAGACUCCUACGGGAGGCAGCAGUGGGGAAUAUUGCACAAUGGGCGCAAGCCUGAUGCAGCCAUGCCGCGUGUAAUGAAGAAGGCCUUCGGGUUGUAAAGUACUUUCAGCGAGGAGGAAGGCAUUAAGGUUAAUAACCUUAGUGAUUGACGUUACUCGCAGAAGAAGCACCGGCUAACUCCGUGCCAGCAGCCGC